CCGAGACUCAGUGAAAUUGAACUCGCUGUGAAGAUGCAGUGUACCCGCGGCAAGACGGAAAGACCCCGUGAACCUUUACUAUAGCUUGACACUGAACACUGGUCCUUGAUGUGUAGGAUAGGUGGGAGGCUUUGAAGUGUGGACGCCAGUCUGCAUGGAGCCAUCCUUGAAAUACCACCCUUUAAUGGCUGGUGUUCUAACGUAGACCCGUGAUCCGGGUUGCGGACAGUGUCUGGUGGGUAGUUUGACUGGGGCGGUCUCCUCCUAAAGAGUAACGGAGGAGCACGAAGGUUAGCUAAUCCUGGUCGGACAUCAGGAGGUUAGUGCAAAGGCAUAAGCUAGCUUGACUGCGAGAGUGACGGCUCGAGCAGGUGCGAAAGCAGGUCUUAGUGAUCCGGUGGUUCUGAAUGGAAGGGCCAUCGCUCAACGGAUAAAAGGUACUCCGGGGAUAACAGGCUGAUACCGCCCAAGAGUUCAUAUCGACGGCGGUGUUUGGCACCUCGAUGUCGGCUCAUCACAUCCUGGGGCUGAAGUAGGUCCCAAGGGUAUGGCUGUUCGCCAUUUAAAGUGGUACGCGAGCUGGGUUUAGAACGUCGUGAGACAGUUCGGUCCCUAUCUGCCGUGGGCGCUGGAGAAUUGAGGGGGGCUGCUCCUAGUACGAGAGGACCGGAGUGGACGCAUCACUGGUGUUCGGGUUGUCAUGCCAAUGGCAUUGCCCGGUAGCUAAAUGCGGAAGAGAUAAGUGCUGAAAGCAUCUAAGCACGAAACUUGCCCCGAGAUGAGUUCUCCCUGAGACUUUA
rnacentral:rRNA from 1 species